AUUGAACGCUGGCGGAAUGCUUUACACAUGCAAGUCGAACGGUAGAGGGGGCAACCCCUCGAGAGUGGCGAACGGGUGAGUAAUAUAUCGGAACGUGCCCAGUCGUGGGGGAUAACGUAGCGAAAGUUACGCUAAUACCGCAUACGAUCUAAGGAUGAAAGCGGGGGAUCGAAAGGCCUCGCGCGAUUGGAGCGGCCGAUAUCAGAUUAGGUAGUUGGUGGGGUAAAGGCUCACCAAGCCAACGAUCUGUGGCUGGUCGGAGAGGACGACCAGCCACACUGGAACUGAGACACGGUCCAGACUCCUACGGGAGGCAGCAGUGGGGAAUUUUGGACAAUGGACGCAAGUCUGAUCCAGCCAUUCCGCGUGCAGGAUGAAGGCCCUCGGGUUGUAAACUGCUUUUGUACGGAACGAAAAGGUCUCUCUUAAUACGGGGGGCUCAUGACGGUACCGUAAGAAUAAGCACCGGCUAACUACGUGCCAGCAGCCGCAGUAA
rnacentral:rRNA from 1 species